rnacentral:lncRNA from 1 species
CGCUAUAUGACCACAGAGGUAAAUAGAGCUAUUAGUCAGCACUGAAGAGUCCAAAGUGUCCACGGAAGCUAUCUACCAACAUCACCGUGACUACAGCAUUACUACAGGAAUAGAAACAUGACUUGGAUGUUCCAUUUCUACAAAUUAAUUAACUCUAUAUGAACUGUACCCCAUUGGAACUGGACCCCAACAGAACUGGACCCCAUCUGAACUGGACCCCAACUGAACUGGACCCCAACUGAACUGGACCCCAUUGGAACUGGACCCCAUUGGAACUGGACCCCAUUGGAACUGGACCCCAUCUGAACUGGACCCCAUUGGAACUGGACCCCAUCUGAACUGGACCCCAUUGGAACUGGACCCCAUCGGAACUGGACCCCAUCUGAACUGGACCCCAUCUGAACUGAACCCCAUUGGAACUGUACCCCAUUGGAACUGGACCCCAUCUGAACUGGACCCCAUCUGAACUGGACCCCAUCUGAACUGGACCCCAUCUGAACUGGACCCCAUCUGAACUGGACCCCAUUGGAACUGGACCCCAUCUGAACUGGACCCCAUCUGAACUGGACUCCAUCUGAACUGGACCCCAUCUGAACUGGACCCCAUCUGAACUGGACUCCAUCUGAACUGGACCCCAUCUGAACUGGACAGUAACCAAACUGGACCCCAUCUGAACUGGACCCCAUCUGAACUGGACCCCAUCUGAACUGGACCCCAUCUGAACUGGACCCUAUCUGAACUGGACCCCAUCUGAACUGGACCCCAUCUGAACUGGACCCCAUCUGAACUGGACUCCAUCUGAACUGGACAGUAACCAAACUGGACCCAAUCUGAACUGGACUCCAUCUGAACUGGACCCCAUCUGAACUGGACUCCAUCUGAACUGGACCCUAUCUGAACUGGACAGUAACCAAACUGGACCCAAUCUGAACUGGACCCCAUCUGAACUGGACCCCAUCUGAACUGAACCCCAUCUGAACUGGACCUCAUCUGAUUUGGACUCCAUCUGAACUGGACCCCAUCUGAACUGAACCCCAUCUGAACUGGACCUCAUCUGAUUUGGACUCCAUCUGAACUGGACCCCAUCUGAACUGGACCUCAUCUGAUUUGGACUCCAUCUGGACUGGACCCCAUUUGAACUGGACCCCAUCUGAACUGGACCCCAUCUGAACUGGACCUCAUCUGAUUUGGACUCCAUCUGAACUGGACCCCAUCUGAACUGGACCCCAUCUGAACUGGACUCCAUCUGAACUGGACAGUAACCGAACUGGACCCAAUCUGAACUGGACCCUAUCUGAACUGGACCAUAUCUGAACUGGACAGUAACUGAACAGGACCCCACCUGAACUGGACCCUAUCUGGACUGCACAGUAACCGAACUGGACCCCAUCUGAACUGGACAGUAACUAAACUGGACCCCAUCUGAACUGGACCCCAUCUGGACUGGACCCCAUCUGGACUGGACCCCAUCUGAACUGGACCCUAUUUGAACUGGACAGUAACCAAACUGGACCCAAACUGAACUGGACCCCAUCUGAACUGGACAGUAACCGAACUGGACCCAAUCUGAACUGGACACUAUUUGAACUGUACCUCAUCUGAAUUGGACCCUAUCUGAUUUGGACUCCAUCCGAACUGGACCCCAUCUGAACUGGACCCCAUCUGGACUGGACCCCAUCUGGACUGGACAGUAACUGAACUGGACAGUAACCGAACUGGACCCAAUCUGAACUGGACCCCAUCUGAACUGGACUCCAUCUGAACUGGACAGUAACCGAACUGGACCCAAUCUGAACUGGACCCCAUCUGAACUGGACCCCAUCUAAACUGGACCCCAUCUGAACUGGACCCUAUCUGAACUGGACAGUAACCGAACUGGACCCAAUCUGAACUGGACCCUAUUUGAACUGGACAGUAACCAAACUGGACCCAAACUGAACUGGACCCCAUCUGAACUGGACAGUAACCGAACUGGACCCAAUCUGAACUGGACCCUAUUUGAACUGUACCUCAUCUGAACUGGACCCUAUCUGAUUUGGACUCCAUCCGAACUGGACCCCAUCUGAACUGGACCCCAUCUGAACUGGACCCAAUCUGAACUGGACCCCAUCUGGACUGGACCCCAUCUGAACUGGACCCCAUCUGGACUGGACAGUAACUGAACUGGACAGUAACCGAACUGGACCCCAUCUGAACUGGACCCCAUCUGAACUGGACAGUAACUGAACUGGACCCAAUCUGAACUGGACCCCAUCUGAACUGGACCCCAUCUGAACUGGACCCCAUCUAAACUGGACCCCAUCUGAACUGGACCUUAUCUGAACUGGACAGUAACCGAACUGGACCCAAUCUGAACUGGACCCUAUCUGAACUGGACCCCAUCUGAACUGGACCCCAUCUUAACUGGACCCCAUCUUAACUGGACCCCAUCUGAACUGGACCCUACGUGAACUGGGUUAGGGGUUAGAGUUAGUGGUUAGGGUUAGGUUUUGAAUAGGAUUGUGUUUUAGGUCAGCAGGUUUGCUUUAGGGUUACGUUACGGUUAAGGGUUAGGGUUAAGAUAUUUUAAGAAAUCCACAAGGUCGAUCUGAUGCCUUCAAGCUAAUGCAGAGACUGGGGGGGAGGGUUGCACUCCGCUUGCUGAAUGGGGGUGUCGAGGGGUCCGGGCACAGAUCCGCUCAGGUUGUAGAACCCUGUAGUUGUCCACUACAGUAGAGUUGGUUUCGGGGUGCAUUGGUUUCAGUUGUCUACAUCCUUUUUUUUUGUCCAGGUAGGGGAUAGGGUUAGGGUGGAGGUUAGGGUUAGGAUAAGAGUAGGGUUAGGGUUAGGUUUAGGGGAGUCCUUCUAUUGGUCAAGGUGUCAACGGUUGUGAAAAAGGGCCACCAGAGAGGAAAUCACACACGGAACUGUCCUUCACUGCUGGUUGGCCAAGUGUCACUCAGUCAUUUGGUCCUGGAUGUUUUUCUUUAUCAAUACAUUGAAGAGUAAUUCCCUUCCAGGAUGCUUGGUGUAGGAUCAGGCAACGCGGUUGAGUUGUGUACCCUGUGUGAGUCCGGGGUCUCAGUUGCUUGCCAUGUGUCCAUACCAAUACGGUCUGUCAUUGAGUUCUUGUGGUUUGAGCAGACAAAAAUCCAGAAGGUGAACCUUCUCUACAGUUGUCAUGCAUCCACCCUUUGAGCUCUAUCCAUCAUCCUUGUAGAUACAUACUUGGUUUAGGGUCAGGCAAAAACCAUAGAGGGCUGCUCCCUUCCAGGAACCCAGCUUCUCAGUCGGUUGCCAUGUGUCCAUCCCAAGCAUGUCAGUCAGUCGGCCUUGAGAGUUUGAGCAGACAAAAACCCAGGAAGUAUAACCUCCUCUACGGUUGUCAUGCAUCCACCCCAAGUGUCAGUCCUUCGCACUCAGUGGUUCAGAUGGCAAGAACGAGUGAGGCCCCUCCCUUCCAGGAUCGUGGGUCGGGUGUCCGCAGACUGUCCGAAGCUGGUUUUUAUAUCAACCCUGUCAAACUGCACCUGGUCUCCCUUCCAGGUUCCGAGGCCCCAACCAGGUUCCGGCGCGCCGAGCGAUCCCAAGCCCAUUUCACCAACACUCCAUCGGAGACAUCGAGGGCCACCAGCCGGUCAAUGGCUGAACUUCCCGACUCAUUCUGUCAAGGUACUGAUUCAGCAGGCCAGUGGCUGAACUUCCUGACUCAUUCUGUCAAGGUACUGAUUCAGCAGGCCAGUGGCUUACAGGUAGCUCUGCCAGGAGCGAAGGCAUGUCGUUGGCCAUUAUUCAAGGCCUGUAUACUCUUCGGAGUGUCUGGCAUUUAUUUUUAAAGAGAUAUGGAACGGAUAUGCAUAAGGCAGCAUGGCUUUGUUAGAUCGUUAACGGCUGAAUCAAGAUAGGUAAAAUUAACAUUUUCCUCUAAUAGGAUAAGCAACACCCAGACAGUACACCGGCACAUGCUCUCUAAUUACCUAGCUCCUCAGGAUACAUCUUUAUGGAGCUAGGGUCAGGGUUAGGGUUAAGGAUAAGGUUAGGGUCAGGUUAGAAUGGUUAAGGUUAGGGUUAAGGUUAGGAUGGUUAAGGUUAGUGUUAAGGUCAGGGUUAGAGUUAGAAUGGUUAAGGUUCUCUAAUACUAUUCAUUCAGGCCUGUAGGAUCACUAGUACCCAAUUUUUUAAUCCAAAGGGUUAGGAUUAGGGUUAAGGUAAGGGUUAGGAUAGGGGUUAAAUUUAGGGUUAAGGUUAGGGUUAGGAUUAGGGUUAUUAUUAGGGCUAGGUUAGGAUGGUUAAGGUUAGUGUUAAGGUCAGGGUUAGAAUUAGAAUGGUUAGGGUUCUCUAAUACCCGUGUGGCUUAGUUGGUAGAGCAUGGUGUUUGCAACACCAGGGUUGUGGGUUCAAUUCCCACGGGGGACCAGUACAGAGAGAAAAAUGUAUGAAAUGUAUGCAUUCACUACUGUAAGUCACUCUGGAUAAGAGCAUCUGCUAAAUGACUAAAAUGUAAAUGUAAUACUUUUCAUUCAUGCCCGUGGGAUCACAAGUACACAAUUUUUGAAUACAAAAUUGCUCCUUAAUCUGUCUGUGUGUUAACAACCACCCUUGGUUAGAUUCCAACCCUGCUAUUCUUAACUGAACUACUGGAUGAGAUCUAAAGUGGGUGUAUAGUGUGGUUUUAACCGACUCUUUACUUAUAUGAUAUAGAUGUUGUUUGAGUCUGGCUUCCAAGGAGUUCCUGGUUUCUCCAAUAUACAGUUUUCUACAUUGUAGACAUUCAAUGCCAUAUACAAUGUUGGUGGUCUUCAUUGAAAAACCUCCCAUACUGGAGCCCCUAGACCCGACCAUUUAUUCUGAAUGUAUUUUACUUGUCUAAAAUGUGAUCCACUCCGCCCCGGCUUCUCCCUGAAACCAGAGUGUACCAGCACAUCUGUCAAAUUUUUAUUUCGCCGAUAUGCUGAUAUUACUCUGAAUUGUUGGAGAACCUCCACAUCCUCCCUUGUCUGCUGGAAAUGAUCCUUCACUACGGAGUUAAACUUCAUAGAAGACUGUGAAUAUGCGGUGACAAAUGGGAUAACACUUCCAUCGUUACUAGUCCACCCAUAUAUAGGUUCAGUUCAAACAUAGUGUUCACCUCUGCUCUUAUAGUGCGGAGGAAACGUUUAGAAUAACCUCUGGGCCUAAGAGCCUUAAAAAUAAUUCCUAUAACCUCCUUCACAUGUUUUCUCUGUGUACAAUUCCUGUGAAAUCUGAUAAACUGAGACUUUAUCAGUCCUCUGUAGGUGUGUUUUGGAUGAAAACGAGAUUUGUGUAAGAGGGAAUGAGUGUCCGUAGGUUUGAAAUAAACCUUUGUUGCUAAUUGCUUCAUGUUAUCACUACCCUCUACAAAAAAUACCUCAGUGUCCAUAAAUUCUAUUUCUUCCUUCUGAACAUUAUGUUUAAUCGUGAUUGACGGAUGAGGUGUAUUCAUAAUCUGCACAAAUUCCAUAACUUCUGAGAGGGAAUGUCUCCAUAACCCAAAUAUGUCAUCUAAAUACCGUAGAUUCAAAAUUGGAAGCUUUGUACAUUUGGGGAAGGCUGAUUGUUCCCAUUCAGCCAUAUAAAUAUUGGCAUAUGACGGGGUAAACUUCUUCCCCAUAGCUGUACCAUGGAUUUGAAGAAAACGAUUAGACUUGUAUUCAAAGUCAUUUCUUGUUAGGCUGAGUUCUAGUAAUUGUAAUAAUGCCUAAUUAGGUCUAUCUAUGUCCGGAUAUCUAUGGAAAAUGUCUUACAUUUCUCUAAGACACAAGUUGGUGUCAAUGUUGGUAUACAAAGAGUCAAUAUCAAUAUGUGUCUUUAAUGAAACUUGGAUGUUUCCGUGACAGAGGAUUUAUAAAAUAAUCUAAGUACUCAGCUAUUCUAUACGAUUGCGAGCCACAGUCCAAUACAAUCGGCCUACCACAUGGAACCUCAGAAGGGAUUGUCCAAGUCUCAGGAGGUUUGUGGAUUUUAAGCAACAAAUAAAAUUGUCUAGGGCGUGGGGUAUCUGGUCCAUAUAGGUAAAACAUUUGUUU